GAAAAUCCGUUGACUUUUAAAAUCGUGAGGGUUCAAGUCCCUCUAUCCCC
rnacentral:tRNA from 1 species